UUCCGGUUGAUCCUGCCGGACCUGACUGCUAUCGGAUUGAUACUAAGCCAUGCGAGUCAUUGUAGCAAUACAAGGCAUACGGCUCAGUAACGCGUAGUCAACCUAACCUAUGGACGGGAAUAACCUCGGGAAACUGAGAAUAAUGCCCGAUAGAACACUAUACCUGGAAUGGUUUGUGUUCCAAAUGAUUUAUCGCCAUAGGAUGGGACUGCGGCCUAUCAGUUUGUUGGUGAGGUAAUGGCCCACCAAGACUAUUACAGGUACGGGCUCUGAGAGGAGUAGCCCGGAGAUGGGUACUGGGACACGGACCCAGGCCCUAUGGGGCGCAGCAGGCGAGAAAACUUUGCAAUGUGCGAAAGCACGACAAGGUUAAUCCGAGUGAUUUGUGCUAAACGAAUCUUUUGUUAGUCCUAGAAACACUAACGAAUAAGGGGUGGGCAAGUUCUGGUGUCAGCCGCCGCGGUAAAACCAGCACCUCAAGUGGUCAGGAUGAUUAUUGGGCCUAAAGCAUCCGUAGCCGGCUCUGUAAGUUUUCGGUUAAAUCCGUACGCUUAACGUACAGGCUGCCGGGAAUACUGCAGAGCUAGGGAGUGGGAGAGGUAGACGGUACUCGGUAGGAAGUGGUAAAAUGCUUUGAUCUAUCGAUGACCACCUGUGGCGAAGGCGGUCUACCAGAACACGUCCGACGGUGAGGGAUGAAAGCUGGGGGAGCAAACCGGAUUAGAUACCCGGGUAGUCCCAGCUGUAAACUAUGCAAACUCAGUGAUGCAUUGGCUUGUGGCCAAUGCAGUGCUGCAGGGAAGCCGUUAAGUUUGCCGCCUGGGAAGUACGUACGCAAGUAUGAAACUUAAAGGAAUUGGCGGGGGAGCACCACAAGGGGUGAAGCCUGCGGUUCAAUUGGAUUCAACGCCGGG
rnacentral:rRNA from 1 species